rnacentral:rRNA from 1 species
AGAGUUUGAUCCUGGCUCAGGACGAACGCUGGCGGCGUGCUUAACACAUGCAAGUCGAACGGAAAGGCCCUUCGGGGUACUCGAGUGGCGAACGGGUGAGUAACACGUGGGUGAUCUGCCCUGCACUUUGGGAUAAGCCUGGGAAACUGGGUCUAAUACCGAAUAUGACCAUGCACUUCCUGGUGUGUGGUGGAAAGCUUUUGCGGUGUGGGAUGGGCCCGCGGCCUAUCAGCUUGUUGGUGGGGUAAUGGCCUACCAAGGCGACGACGGGUAGCCGGCCUGAGAGGGUGACCGGCCACACUGGGACUGAGAUACGGCCCAGACUCCUACGGGAGGCAGCAGUGGGGAAUAUUGCACAAUGGGUGCAAGCCUGAUGCAGCGACGCCGCGUGAGGGAUGACGGCCUUCGGGUUGUAAACCUCUUUCAGCACAGACGAAGCGCAAGUGACGGUAUGUGCAGAAGAAGGACCGGCCAACUACGUGCCAGCAGCCGCGGUAAUACGUAGGGUCCGAGCGUUGUCCGGAAUUACUGGGCGUAAAGAGCUCGUAGGUGGUUUGUCGCGUUGUUCGUGAAAACUCACAGCUUAACUGUGGGCGUGCGGGCGAUACGGGCAGACUUGAGUACUGCAGGGGAGACUGGAAUUCCUGGUGUAGCGGUGGAAUGCGCAGAUAUCAGGAGGAACACCGGUGGCGAAGGCGGGUCUCUGGGCAGUAACUGACGCUGAGGAGCGAAAGCGUGGGGAGCGAACAGGAUUAGAUACCCUGGUAGUCC